rnacentral:rRNA from 1 species
UACGAAGGGGGCUAGCGUUGUUCGGAAUCACUGGGCGUAAAGCGCACGUAGGCGGAUCUUUAAGUCAGGGGUGAAAUCCCAGAGCUCAACUCUGGAACUGCCGUUGAUACUAUUUGUCUUGAAUAUUGUGGAGGUAAGCGGAAUAUGUCAUGUAGCGGUGAAAUGCUUAGAUAUGACAUAGAACACCAAUUGCGAAGGCAGCUUACUACACAACGAUUGACGCUGAGGCACGAAAGCGUGGGGAUCAAACAGG